CGGGGCAGCGGGGCUGGGCUCCGGCCGGGAGUCAGACGAGGGAGCGCGCGCGCGCUCCCGGACAGUUCUCCGCAGCCGCUCGCCCGAGCCUUCUACUUGGCCAACACAGCUGCCUCUACCACCUCGCGUGCCCGGUUCGUGGGCUUUCAGCUCUGAGGAAGAAACCACCAUUCAAGUUGGAGUGCGGUUAACAUCAAAAGGAGAACGUUACCAAGCAUGUCCUGAAGAUGAAGAUACUCUCAGCCUAACGUCUCCAAGCAAAUAUUGAUUCAGCAGUAUCCCCAGGCAAAGCCACACCAUAUAUCAGUGAACAGAGAAACAACUGCCCUUCUCCGGGCCCCUGUCUGAGAAGCUGGAGCAUCAGCCCUGGAGCUCUCCGGAGCAGUUUCCUUGCUCACUGUCCCCAGCUGAACACAGCCGCAUGCAGAGGUCCAAAGCACGUAAACAGGAUACCCACCCUGCAUUAUCUUAUAUUUUAAGUCAAUAUGAAGAUGGACAUUCUACCCCUGAGACCAAUUUCGAUCAAAUACUUUUGUCAAUAAAAAGAUACUAAUGUC
rnacentral:lncRNA from 1 species